rnacentral:rRNA from 1 species
CUACGGGUCGCUCCAGUGAGGAAUAUUGCGCAAUGGGGGAAACCCUGAUGCAGCCAUGCCGCGUGUGUGAAGAAGGCCUUCGGGUUGUAAAGCACUUUCAGUGGGGAGGAAAGGUUGUAAGUGAAUAGCUUACAGCUGUGACGUUACCCACAGAAGAAGCACCGGCUAACUCCGCGCCAGCAGCCGCGGUAAUACGGAGGAUGCAAGCGUUAUCCGGAUGCAUUGGGUUUAAAGGGUGCGUAGGCGGAAUAGUAAGUCAGUGGUGAAAGCCUGCGGCUUAACCGUAGAAUUGCCAUUGAUACUGUUAUUCUUGAGUAUAGUUGAGGUGGGCGGAAUGUGUAAUGUAGCGGUGAAAUGCUUAGAUAUUACACAGAACACCAAUUGCGAAGGCAGCUCACUAAACUAUCACUGACGCUGAGGCACGAAAGCGUGGGGAGCAAACAGGAUUAGAUACCCCCGUAGUC